CUUUGAAAUGGGAUGAAGUCAACUACAGACCACGAUGAGGGCACAAUGUGUGAUUUUCUGUGAAUCUGUUGCUAUAUACGGUGUUAUUGUGGCAAUUAUUCUACAAACAAAGUUGGAGAGUGUUCCCCCAUCACAAAUAUAUGAACCUGAAUCUCUUAGAGCUGGUUAUGCUAUCUUUGCCUCAGGGAUUAUUGUGGGUUUUGCAAACCAUGUCUGCGGGUUUGUUCCAUCUUUUAUCUCUUUCCAAAAUCACCUAACAAACAUAUAGCAGUCUCUUCUUCAUUUCUGUGAGUUCUAAUCUUCGUUUAUCAACUUUUGCAUGGUACAGGCUGUGUGGGAAUUAUUGGAAGCAGCUGUGCAUUAUCUGAUGCCCAGAACUCGUCACUUUUUGUGAAAUUCUCGUGAUUGAAAUCUUUGGUAGUGCCCUCGGGUUGUUUGGAGUAAUAGUCGGAAUAAUCAUGUCGACUCAAGCAACAUGGCCAAACAAAUCAGUUUAGUUUGGCUUUUUUUUUUCUUUUUUUCCUUUUGGUCAGUUGGGUGAUUCCUGUCACUAGUACCAACAGAACUAAUGUACGACAUGUUAUGUAUCUUCUUCUCUAUUGGUUUAGUAGUAGGUGAUUGAGUUCUGGUCUGAAAUGUUCUACUUGUUCCCUUUUUUCUAAUUUUAAGCUGUUUUGUUUAUGAUGGAUUAUAAAUACUGGAAGAGGUGAGGUGAGUUUAGGAUAUAUUUUCAUGGCUUAUU